UACGGGGGGGUGCAAGCGUUGUCCGGAUUUACUGGGCGUAAAGGGCGCGUAGGCGGUUGUAUCAGUCGGGCUUAUAAGUGCGGGGCUCAACCCCGUGAUGGGUUCGGGACGGUAUGACUGGGGCGCGGUCGAGGGAGACGGAAUGCCGGGUGUAGUGGUGAAAUGCGUAGAGAUCCGGCGGAACACCGGUGGUGAAGGCGGUCUCCUAGGCCGAGGGCCGACGCUGAGGCGCGAGAGCGUGGGGAGCGAACCGG
rnacentral:rRNA from 1 species